rnacentral:rRNA from 1 species
UCGAACGAGAUCUUCGGAUCUAGUGGCAGACGGGUGAGUAACGCGUGGGAACCUGCCCAGUAGUAGAGAAUAACUUGGGGAAACUUAAGCUAAUACUUUAUACGUCCUUCGGGAGAAAGCUUUAUGCGCUAUUGGAUGGGCCCGCGUUAGAUUAGUUUGUUGGUGAGGUAACGGCUCACCAAGGCGACGAUCUAUAGCUGGUCUGAGAGGAUGAUCAGCCACACUGGGACUGAGACACGGCCCAGACUCCUACGGGAGGCAGCAGUGGGGAAUAUUGGACAAUGGGGGCAACCCUGAUCCAGCGAUGCCGCGUGAGUGAUGAAGGCCCUAGGGUUGUAAAACUCUUUCGUCAGGGAAGAUAAUGACGGUACCUGAAGAAGAAGAUCCGGCUAACUCCGUGCCAGCAGCCGCGGUAAUACGGAGGGGUCUAGCGUUAUUCGGAAUUACU